CUGAUUAGCUAGUUGGUGAGGUAAAGGCUCACCAAGGCGACGAUCAGUAGCUGGUCUGAGAGGAUGAUCAGCCACAUUGGGACUGAGACACGGCCCAAACUCCUACGGGAGGCAGCAGUGGGGAAUCUUGCGCAAUGGGCGAAAGCCUGACGCAGCCAUGCCGCGUGAAUGAUGAAGGUCUUAGGAUUGUAAAAUUCUUUCACCGGGGACGAUAAUGACGGUACCCGGAGAAGAAGCCCCGGCUAACUUCGUGCCAGCAGCCGCGGUAAUACGAAGGGGGCUAGCGUUGCUCGGAAUUACUGGGCGUAAAGGGAGCGUAGGCGGACUGUUUAGUCAGAGGUGAAAGCCCAGGGCUCAACCUUGGAAUUGCCUUUGAUACUGGCAGUCUUGAGUACGGAAGAGGUAUGUGGAACUCCGAGUGUAGAGGUGAAAUUCGUAGAUAUUCGGAAGAACACCAGUGGCGAAGGCGACAUACUGGUC
rnacentral:rRNA from 1 species